AUUACAGAGAGCUAAUGUAAGCGAUCCAUUACAGAGAGGGGCUUCAUGAACCGUUUCACGGUGCAAUUUUACUAUUCUUUCCAGGACUUUCAGUCCCCUGCAACCAAGUCAAGAGAACAGGGUCCAAGAGAGCUCCCCACAGGCAACAGACUGGUUCUCUGGAACAGAAGUGUUCCCCACAGACCCCAUGCCUGCACCAUAGUACUGGAGUUGCAGAAACAUGACGUCCUGCCUUGUGGUGCUACCAGAGAAAACAAACAUAAAGUUCCUAGCAGAGCUCCAGGCAUCUCUUUAGUUCUUGGAGAAGAUGAAGCUGGUAACAUGGUUAGAGCAAAUCCUCCAUGUCAGACAUGAGGACAACCAUGGAGGAGACUGUACUUUUAAGCUUGGUUUGGAAAAGCGAGUUUCACAGCAAUCAACUCAAUGCUAAAGAAGGCACCUAGACUAUGACAGGCUGAAAGAAUCUUUCCAAACAUAACGGUGCAUUAACUGGGAUGAUGGAGCUGAAGAGGAUGCCAAGCUAGAGCCUAUCUGAUCCUAUUAUGGACUUGGUACCAUGAGUGUCUGUGUCGGAGGAGGAUCCCAUUUGAAAUGCUGAAUUGACAUCCAAAGAAUAAUUGAAGUGAAUUCACCAGGAAUCGUAAUUUACAAGGAAUUAUACAUAACCCGCAACACAACACGCCAAGCAAAGGAAGAACAGGAAAAGCAAGAUGUUCAGUCCUGACGUGAGUGUGGUAGGGAGCUGUGAGGACGCUGAUCCCUGCUGCUCCUGUUCUAAGACCCCAGAUGUCCCCGGGAGCCUUGCACAUCCACAGAUGGGACGUUUUGAAGAGCAUUGGACCAUGGAGGUGCUAGAGCUGACUUGCUAUUAGGAGGCAGAACUUGGCUAGAGGACUUGGAAGGUUAUCUCUCUUUCCCCAAGGCCUCCUCUCUUUCUUUGCUUCCUGACAUCCAUUAUUCUGAGCAUGUUUCCUUCACUGUCUUCUCUCCUGCAUGCUGUUUUUGUCCUGGAUCCAGCUGACUAUGGACUGUAACCAUGAUCCAAAAAGGAAAACCUCGCUGCCUUUUAAAUUGUUGGUGUCAGUAUUAUAUCACAGCAAUGAGAAAGUGACUAAGGCAUGCAUGUGUGGGGGCACAUAGCAACAGUGCCCUUCUGUGCUGUUUUUCUACCAACCUAAAACUGCUCCAAAAAUAAAGCCUAUUACUUUUUUAAAAGAUCAUAUUAGGAGGUGGCUCCUUCCUCCUGUUCUUCAAGUUCCAUAUAAUAAGAACAGUAACACGAAUUCUGCAGAAACAGGAAAAACAACCCAAGAAAGCAUUAUAAUGAGUUCUACUCACUUAUCAAGUGAGAAAUGAAAUGCUCAUUAGAAUUGAAUAAGAACUUGUGUAUAAGAACUUACAUGAAAAACAUCACCAAACCACCUUUUAACUGAAAAGUGAUCUCAGAAAAGCCAAAAAGCCUGUAUACAGUUUUGUAUGAAGCAAUCAGUGAGACUAUUAGCUGACCUUUUCAUGGAAAAUUUAGGAAGUAUUUAAGGAAGUGCUUCAUGCUGCGAAAUUAAGAGAAGAAGAUCAUUUAGCUGCAAAAACAUGUUGAGAGAGAGAGAGAGAGAGAG